AGUUUGCGUGCUGCAUUUGUCAGCACAGCCAUUUUGAGCAUUAAUAAAUUACAAUUCUCUGAGAGAUUAUACUUGGCCAAGUCCUCGCCCAGUUCGACGGCCUGAAGAGGCCAUUUUGCCAUGGCCAUCCAUGGCCACGAAGUCCUGGGCACCAAAGUGGAUGGAUGGCCACCAAAAGGCCGGGACACAAUGCAUCCAGUGUCGGGCCAUCGCAUUCACUUUGCGGCACUGCCGAGCGUUUGUGUCGCCGCUGCAUUAUUCUGUCAGCGGGCCACUAUUCUCAGUCAAGAUUGUUGACAUCUAUGCGCCUUGUUUGCCACAUUGUCCUUGUUUGGGCCCGGUGGACUGGUGUGUUGGGAGUCAAGAGGUCCUGUCAGAGCGGCUUACACUCGGAGCGCCUGGGAUUGCAGCGCCAAGGAGCUGAAUGCUAAAAGUUAAGUGGUAAAUUGGUUAUUGUGUUGCAUUAAUGGACGGACACUGCACCAGAGAACCGACCGCAACCAGCCGCUGGCAUUCACUUAGCUUCUGGUUUGGGUUUCAGUCUUGAAAGUGGUUUCGUUCCUGGUCCUGACUCCAUGAUUCUGCCCGCCGGCGUUCCCUGUUGAAUCUUUUAAUUAAGGACGAAUUCCUUGAAGCAUCGCAGACUUUACUUUGUCCUCGGGGCAAGCGAAAGUUUUUCAAUUAUUUUGCCAUGACUAGAUUUCAGCUUGCCACCCACCAUGAAAGAAAAGAGUGCAGCGUUUCUGUGGAUGCGACAAGUAUUAAUGACGAUGGAGCUGAUGAAAAGUUGAUCUGUUGAAAAGCUUUUGGCGAUUUGAAUUUCCACACUGAAGCUGACACGUUUCCGAGAAGAAUAUUGUGGCUGGCCAAGGAAUUUUGUGCAUUAGACUGGGUCCAUUCAUCAUUCUGUACGAAAUUGCAUUUUAAUUGAAUUUUAUGGUUUGUUAAAUGACCAACGGGUAAAUAUAUAUUGGCAGCU
ensembl:ncRNA lncRNA:CR46023 long non-coding RNA:CR46023